GUAGACUGGACUUUACUGUCUGGAAAGCCUUUCCUAUGUCUUCAUAACAAACGCUUCAGUUAAAGAAUGUAAUUUGUGGGAUAACACAUUUAUAUACAACUUUCAGCAACGGAUCUCUUGGCUCUCGCAUCGAUGAAGAACGCAGCGAAAUGCGAUAAGUAAUGUGAAUUGCAGAAUUCAGUGAAUCAUCGAAUCUUUGAACGCACCUUGCGCUCCUUGGUAUUCCGAGGAGCAUGCCUGUUUGAGUGUCAUGGAAUUCUCAACCCUCAAAUCUUUGUUGAUUUGGUGGGCUUGGACUUGGAGGUUAGUGUCGGCUUGUUACCAAGUCGACUCCUCUGAAAUAUAUUAGCGUGAAUCUUACGGAUCGCUCUUCGGUGUGAUAAUUGUCUACGCCGUGUUCGUGAAGUAUAUCAGUGUUCUUGCUUAUAAUCGUCCCUUGUGGACAACUUUAUGACAUCUGACCUCAAAUCAGGUAGGACUACCCGCUGAACUUAAGCAUAUCAAUAAGCGGAGGAAAAGAAACUAACAAGGAUUCCCCUAGUAACUGCGAGUGAAGCGGGAAAAGCUCAAAUUUAAAAUCUGGCGGUCUUUGGCCGUCCGAGUUGUAGUCUGGAGAAGCGUCUUCCGCGC
rnacentral:rRNA from 1 species